rnacentral:rRNA from 1 species
GCCAACGACCACACCAUGCUGAAAUUACAGGUUCUCGGCCGGUCACCGAAGUCAAGCAAUAUUGUGUGCGGUAAGUGUUUGGGAGGGUGACCACCUUGGAGCACCGCGUGCUGUUGACA